rnacentral:rRNA from 1 species
AGCAGCCGCGGUAAUUCCAGCUCCAAUAGCGUAUAUUAAAGUUGUUGCAGUUAAAAAGCUCGUAGUUGAAUUUCGGGGUUCAUCCGUUGGUCGGGCUUUUUUGGUCUGUACUGGCGUGAUGGAUUCCUACCUUCUGAAUAACCAGCAUGUCAUUAAUUUGGUGCGCUGGGGAAGCAGGACUGUUACCUUGAAAAAAUUAGAGUGCUUAAAGCAGGCUAUCGCCUGAAUACAUUAGCAUGGAAUAAUGAAAUAGGACGGCAUGGUUCUAUUUUGUUGGUUUCUAGGAUCACCGUAAUGAUUAAUAGGGAUAGUUGGGGGCAUUAGUAUUCAAUUGUCAGAGGUGAAAUUCUUGGAUUUAUUGAAGACUAACUUCUGCGAAAGCAUUUGCCAAGGAUGUUUUCAUUAAUCAAGAACGAAAGUUAGGGGAUCGAAGACGAUCAGAUACCGUCGUAGUCUUAACCAUAAACUAUGCCGACUAGGGAUCGGACGAUGUUAAUUUUUUAAUGACUCG